rnacentral:rRNA from 1 species
AAGUAUCGAUGACAAUAUUGUAAUAAACAUCAAAAAUAUAAAAAAGUAAUUCAAAGGGGUUAUUAAGGAAAACUAAGGCAAAUUUAUAUAAAAGGAGGUAUAUUACCAAAAGCUUACAAACUGGAAUUAAGUAAGCGAUCCUAAGGUAAACCUUGUUAAUUAAUUACUUCCUGAAGUAAAACAUUUUAUUAAGGAAAGGAAAGGAAAUCAACCGAGACUCCGAAAGUAAUGGUGAGUGAAAUCGGAUUAGCCUAAUUAAUUAAAUAAAUUGAAAAACUUAAGUAUCUUUAUUAAAAAGUGAAUUUUAUUAAUUAAAAACUAAUAAAGUAAUAUUUAUUAAUUAAAAACUAAUAAGUAUUGUAAGUCAUUUAAUUUAAAGAUAUAUUAGUUAGUAAUACAUUACUUUAACUUUAAAUAUUUUAAUUAAUCUUUUAAAGCUGAAGGAAAGAUGGAAAGUUAAAAACUCCACUCGAGGCAAUGCUAUGUAUUAUUCUAAAGAAGGUGAAAUACUAUAAGACCUGUAGAUUUAUUAAUUAAUAUUAGUGAAAUAAAUUAGUAGUAAUAAUUAAAUUAAACAAACAAAAAAAAAAUAAUUUGUUAAGUUAUAUAUUUUUUUAGUUUUUAAUAUUAUUAUAUCAACCUAAAAUUAUUCUAAAUAAAGUACGAUGAGAGAAAACUUGUCGGAAUAUAGGGGUACCAUCCUCUAAGGCUAAGUAUUAUAAAUUUAGCGAUAGUGAAUAAGUACUGUAAAGGAAAAGUUUGAAAAGCGAGUGGUAUACAAAAAAGUGAAUUUUUAAAAUAUUUAGUAUUGAAAAAUAUUAAAAUUUUAUUAAUGAAUCGGUGAAAUAGAUCUUGAAUUAGUAACUCUAUAAGCAGUCGAAAUUCUACUUGAAAUCAUAAAAGAUUAAUGAAUGACGGCGUACCUUUUGCAUAAUGGGUCAGCAAGUUAAUAGGAGUAGCAAGGUUUAAAGCCCUAGCGAAAGCGACUGGACUAUAAAUUAAAAAUACAAGUGCGUAUAUUUGUAGUUUAUACUUCAUAACUGUAAUGUAUCAAAUUUGUAUAGACAUAGUGAUGGGUCAGUUACUUCUAUUAGACCCGAAGCCAGGUGAUCUUACCAAGACCAGAUUAUAAUGGAUCGAACGGGUGAAUGUUGCAUAAUUCUCCGAAGAGUUUUGGUAAGCGGUGAAAUGCCAAUCUGACCUGGUGCUAGCUGGUUUUCUACCGAAACAUAUUUAAGUAUGACGUCUACACAAAAUUUAUGGAGGUACAGCAAGGCAAUUCCCAACAAGUUUAAGGGUUGUGUUUUAAAAGCACAAGUACCUUUUAGGCGUUUAGGUUGCGGGGACCUCGAAAAUCUUACCUUUGGAAGCGAAUCUCGGAAUUACAUAAAUUGAUGGUAGAUAUUCAGACUACUCAUGCUAAGUUGGGUAGUCAAGACGGAAACAGCCGAGAACACUGAUCAAGGUCCCAAAUGAUUGUUAAGUGAAAUUAAGGACGUAGCAAUAUCGUAUACAGCUGUGAAGUGAGCCUGGUAGUCGCUACUUUUAAUGAUCGUAUGUAACAACGCAUCAGCAGUCUAGAUAGUAGCGCCGAAAAUUUAACGGGUCUUAAACAAUCAACCGAUAUCGUGUUGGUUUAGAGUAUUAAGAGGGAUUAAUAUUUUUAAUUUUGUAUUAUUUAAUUUAUUUUUAAAUUUAUUUUUUUAAUAGUAUUAUGAAACUUUCUAUUUCUAAAUCUAGGUAGUAGAACAUUCAGUCAAACUAAUUAUAAAAUAGUGUUUCAUUAUUUUUUAGGUAACUGAAGAGAGAAUGCUGACAUGAGUAAUGUAAAAAGAAGUUAUAAUACUUCUCGCCGAAUACGAAAGGGUUGCAAAUAGGAAAGGUUAAUCCGUUUUGUUUGAAUGCGGCCUCUAAGGACCAAAACCAAAGUUUUGGCUGAUGAGUAUAUAAUAGAAAGUCCAAUUUUUUUUAAUGGACCAGGAAAUUAAUAUUAUAAGUAAUAAAGUUUAUUUUAUAAACUAAAAAUUUCUUUUUAUAAUUAUAUAUAAAUAAACUAAUAUAAAGAAAUCUAAAAUUAACUAAUAGUGUUUAGUUCUUUGUUUUUAUAAUUAUUACUUAUUUAAUAAUUAAAGUUUUUAAUAAGAUUCGCAGUCUUGGAAACUUUAAGUUUAAAACUUAUUAUUAGUUAUACUUUUUUUUGUUUUAAACAAUUUAUUUAAUAGUAUUAUUAUAAAUAACAAUUUCUAAGAGUAAUUUAUAUUUUCUAAAUUAUAAAUAAAAUAUGUAGUAUUAUAAUAAAAAUUUUAGAAUAUAGAAUUAAUUUUAUUACUUAAUUUUUAUAUUUAUGUAAAUUGCUAUUAAGGGCAAAUAUAAAUUUUACUAUUAAUUAGUAGAUAAUAAAUGCUUAAAGGUUAUUUUAAAUGUUAAAAAUUUACUUAACAUAAAUUGGGGGUUUUCUCUCAUUCUUUUCCUAACGGGGAAGGAGGGGCUAGGAAAGCUAAAAAUAAACUUUAAAUAGCUAACACUAAGUUAUUUUAUCCGGUUUAUUUUUUUGCGUUUAGAAGAUUAAUUAAUAUUGUUAAUUAAUUAAAAUUAAUUAUAGUAAAUAAAUUUAUUUUAAAUAAUUUUUCUCUCUCUAUACUAGUUAAGUAUAAAAAUUUAACUAUUUGCUUUUUUUGUAAAUAUAAAUAAUCAAAUUACUUAUUAAAGAUUCAGUAAAUCCUUAUCCGAGGUAUAAUAGAACUAGAGAAAAAACUUUAGUUUUUUAUAUAAACUGAAGUCUUUAAAAUUAAAUAGUAAUUUAAAACAUUUAUUUUAAGCUAUUAAUAUUAUCAAAAAUAUUUAUUCGAAAAUCGAAGAUUAUUAUAAGAGAUAUUUAUUAGUUUACAAUUAGAUUUAAUUUUAAGUUAAUUUAACUUAACUUUUAAAUUAGCUCUUGUUUUCGCUGAACUUUAAUUAAUCUAAAUGUAAGUUUAACUUAAAUUAUUUAAAAAUUUUUAAAUAGGGUUUAAAAAUUGGUUAAAAAAAUAAAUAAGGAAUUAUAAAAAAUCACAAAUAUUUAUAUUGUUUAAUAAAUAUAAAAAUAAACUACCGUACCCUAAACCGACACAGGUUCGUAGGUAGAGAAUACUAAGGCGUAGAGCUAAAAGUUGUUAAGGAACUCGGCAAAUUCACCUCAUAAGUUUGACGAAAAGAGGGACCGCACAUAUUAUAAUAUUUACUAAUUAUCUCUUAUUAUUAAUUUAAUUAUUGAAAUAAUUAUUUUAAUAUUAUCUUGCUUAAAAAAUAAGGUAAAAUUUAAAUUUAAGGGAGGAUAAAUAAUUAAAUUAUUAUAAUUAAGGCGGUGGCACAGAAUCGGAGGCCCCGACUGUUUACUAAAAACACAACACAGUGCAAUCAUUAAUAUGAUAGUAUACUGUGUGAAAUUUGCCCGAUGCCAUUAAUAUAAGAGAGGUCAUGGGGAACUGUGACUAAUCGAAAAUCUGGUUAAUAGCGGUCUUAACUAUGAGGAUCCUAAGGUAGCAAAAUAAGUUGGCCAUUAAAUGUGGUCCGGUAUCAAUAAUGUAACGAUGGCCUCACUGUCUCUACAACUUGCUCAAUGAAAUUGAAUUACGCGUGCAGAUGCGCGUUGCCUCCAGGGGGACGGGAAGACCCUAUGCAGCUUUACUGUAGUUAGUUAUCACAUGGAUCUAGAACAAUUUUAAUUACUAGAAAAUAGGGAAGUCGAUAGACAAAUACUGGAAACCUUAAAAUUAAGAUUGGGUUUAUGUUUACCUUAAAAUUAAAAAAAAGGGAGAGUUGACUAAUUGGCAGUUUGACUGGGGCGGUCGUCUUUAAUAGAGUAGCAAAGUACAUCCAAAUAUUUUUUAUUACAAACAAAUUGAAGGUAUCCCUAUUUAAUACUUUUUAUUUUAUUUUAUCUUAGUUCUAUAAUAUCACUAUUGUAGUUUUAUUUUAUUAUUAUAUAAAAAGGAAUAUUAAAAGACAAAGAAUACUGAAAUUAAAUAUUAAAAAUUUGAUAUUUAAAACAAAAAACUUAUUCUCUUUCUUAGAAUAUUAAAAAUUUUAAGAAAGAGGAUAGUAAAAUUUAAUGAAAUAUUUAUUUAAAAAAAAAGCUAACGCUAGCAAUAAAAAGGUAUUAAAUUAAUUAACAAAAAAAAUCAAAACUUUCUCUUUAGCUACUUACACUACCUUUUUUCCUUUAGGUAAGAAGGAUUGGAUUGUUGGAUUGUUAAAUAUCUACUCUUAUGGGGAAAGAUAUUAAAGAAUUCAUUUAAUUUAACGUAAUGUUAGUGAUCCCUUUUUUUUUAAGAAAGGGUCAAGAGUUUGGCCAAAAACAAUAACACACUAAAAAUUUAUAAAGGUAUAGCUAGAAAUUGAAUGGAGAUCAAUCAACCAGUGAAGGGUUGCGCAGAGUUCAAUGGCGGUAAGCAUGCUUAACUGAAAGACCAAAAAGUCGCACAGAUACGUAAGUAGGGCAUAGUGACCCCUCGCUAUAAAAUGGGAUAGACGGGGAUCAAUUAAUAAAAGUUACGCUAGGGAUAACAGGCUGAUAGCCGACGAGAGUACACAUUGUCUCGGCUGUUUGGCACCUCGAUGUCGACUCAUCCUAUCCUCCGGGGGAAGAAGCUUGGAAGGGUUCGGCUGUUCGCCGAUUAAAAGGGUACGUGAGUUGGGUUUAAUACGACGUGAGUCAGUAUGGUCCCUAUCUUCUGGAGGGAUAAUUAGUAAAAAGGGGCAGACCUUCUAGUACGAAAGGAUCAAUAGGCUGUGUUUCUCUAGUGUACCAAUUGUUUGUACUAUUUUGUUAUAAUUAAUCUCUAAUUAGAGAUAAUUUAGUAAAUCCUUUUGAACUUUAUGCUAAAAAAGUUCUUUAAUUUAAAUACCCUUAAAUAAGGUUAUGAUAAAAGGUCGCAAAAUAAGAACGCAUAGUUGGGUAGCCACAAACAUAAUAGAUAAGUGCUGAAUGUCUAUAAAGCAAGAAUCUAACCCCUAGAUACUUUAAAAAUGAUUAUUUAUCUUAAUUAUAAGCUUAAAUUUUAAGCAUAAUUUAGAUUUUUAUCAUUAAUUAAGAAAUAGAACAUUUCUAGAUAGGCUGCAAAUAAAA